GCCCUUCAUAGGUAGUNGGCGAACGGGUGCGUAACACGUGAGUAACCUGCCCCAUAGUUUGGAAUAACACCGGGAAACCGAUGCUAAUACCAAAUAUGCUCGCACUAGCACAAGCUAGAGCAAGGAAAGAUUUAUCGCUUUGGGAGGGGCUCGCGGCCUAUCAGCUUGUUGGUGAGGUAACGGCUCACCAAGGCUUCGACGGGUAGCUGGUCUGAGAGGACGAUCAGCCACACUGGGACUGAGACACGGCCCAGACUCCUACGGGAGGCAGCAGUGGGGAAUAUUGCGCAAUGGGCGAAAGCCUGACGCAGCCACGCCGCGUGGAGGAUGAAUGCUCUAGGGUCUUAAACUCCUUUCAGCAGGAAAGAAAAUGACCGUACCUGCAUAAGAAGCUCCGGCCAACUAUGUG
rnacentral:rRNA from 1 species